GAAAACUUAUACUAUAUAUUGUACUACUAGUAUUACAUGAUGUUAGCGUUACACCAACAUAACCAUGAAUAGUUUUCAUGUUUAAAGGUUUAACUAUCAUUCCUGAUAUACUCUGUUAUAAAUCUGAUUCAUUCAGAGGCUUAUAAGGAAAUAAAACAAACUUAAUGAACUGAAUCUGAAUAAUUAAGAUUCAGAUCUUAAAAACAAACACACUUAAUGAGAUGAAUCUGAAUGAUUAAGAUUCAUACCUCCAUUAAGUGCAAACAAAUGAGACCUUACUCUCUUUAUGACUCUAGAGUGUACAUCAUCACCCACUACAUAAUACUUUCUCCACGGAGCCUAAUGAUCAUCGACAAAUGCAGAUCCCUCCAAUUAGCUCACUUUCCAUCCCUAUUGAUCGAAGUCACCUGUUUACCACAAGGGAAAUAAGAACAUCGCGAUUCGAUUGUCAAACAAGAAUUUCUAGCUCUGAAUCAGACACAUAGAACAUGUAUUCCAAUGGCAACUAAGACUAAUUAGCAUUAUUUUAUUUGAGGAUAUCCUAAUAAGGAUCACUUUAUUAAACUGGAUAGAAAAUCGUACCAAUGUUUUUGAAGAUUGGUUCAUGCGUAGAUCGAUCAUUGAUUACAUAAAGAGCAAGAAACGACUGAGAUAAAGAAGACAUAUAAGCUAACUGCAUAUAUGGAUGGUAUAAAACAAAACCUGUAACUUAAAGAAGCUGAGCAGAACAUUAUGGUUACCUGUGAAUUGUGCUGUUUUCAUUACAACUCUGAUUAACACAUAAAUGCUGGCUACCAUUGGGUCCAAGAAGUACUAUGACGAACAGUCUUGUGAGCUGUGUUUCACAUUGCAGUAUUUGAAACCAGAUUCAAAUCCGCGAGGAUUGAGCAGAGGUAACAAACCUAUGCUCUAUAGUUCAAACUUGAAAUAUAAAGACAAAGCAACAGCCAAUCAAAACGUUGAUUAGUCACCAGGUGGUACUGCAUAUGUAAGAUGGUUGAAGUACAUUAACACAAAGGAUGUGUUCAUAGAAGAGAAACUCAAUGUAUU
rnacentral:lncRNA from 1 species